CAGUAUGAGGUGAGUGGUUGCAGUAUCAACCAAUCAGCAGAGGGGGGCGACAUAUUUAAGCAGGCGUAGAGCCAGCUUUGGGAAGGUUCGUCUGGUCGACAGGUCACCUGACUUCCGGUUGUCGCGGAGAUUAUCACCGCUGCGCGUAGAACUGGCUCUCACACCAAGACUGCUGUGGGAAACUCCCUUGUUGUGCUGCCUCUCGCGCCGAGCCGACUUUCGUGUGUGGCUUCCGUGUGUGGCAAACCCCCGUCAUCCGGGUAGGUGAAUCCACGGCUUGUGGGCAUGUUCCUGUCUAUGUCGGACGUUUAUGGUUGUUUUUGUUUUGUUUUUUUGCUUUUAGGGGGAAUUAUUGGACGGCCUUUUAACAACUUAGCCGCCUUCCAGGCGGCUGAUAGUGGCUGUGGCGGCGUGUGGUGCUGGAGGAUCUACAGUCGUUCCCACACGUACAGAUUGGCGUCCUAAUUGCUGCUGCUUUGCUUUGCUUUGUUUUAUUUGUUUUAAUUGUUUUAACAUUGACUCUUUUAAUUGUUUUGGGACACUUUUAUGCCCCGCCGCUCCACUAGAGGCGCGGGGCGCCGUCUGUAUCGAGGACUUGGUUGAUGGCUGGCCUCUAGUGCAUAUGUUUUAUGUUACGGCAGUUUUAUUUUGUUUAUCUGUUGUCCCUUUUUAUUGUGUUUAACUCCACUGCUUCUAACACUUGUAUUUCUUUUUAUUUUAGUGGUCUGAGAGCGUGGAGUGGUGGUGCCUCUGUGGUGCGGGUCCCCGGUUUAGUCUAAUCCUCCCCUCAUCUGCAUGCUGAUCACGUUUGCCUGUGCUGUGGGACUGAAGUGCGGUGUGAAGUGUGUUUGUCUUGCACGUGUGCCUGGGGUGGCCUUUGUUUGGAUCCCCUCACCUCAUUUAGCCCACCUAUCUCCUGGUAAGCCUCAGCCAUCUUUUAUUUUUGAAUCGUGGGUUUUGUUUUGUUGAUUUUAAAUAAAGAUUGUUUAAUUGAUUGGA